rnacentral:rRNA from 1 species
GACGAACGCUGGCGGCGUGCUUAACACAUGCAAGUCGAACGAAGUGGCGAACGGGUGAGUAACGCGUAAUCAACCUGCCCUUCAGAGGGGGACAACAGUUGGAAACGACUGCUAAUACCGCAUACUGAAGGAGGGGAUUGCGUUGGAUUAGCUGGUUGGAGGGGUAACGGCCCACCAAGGCGAUGAUUAGUAGCCGGUCUGAGGGGAUGAACGGCCACAUUGGGACUGGGACACGGCCCAGACUCCUUCGGGAGGGAGCAGUUGGGAAUCUUCCGCAAUGGACGGAAGUCUGACGGAGCAACGCCGCGUGAGUGAUGACGGCCUUCGGGUUGGAAAGCUCUGUUAAUCGGGACGCGGUACCGGAAUAGAAAGCCACGGCUAACUACGUGCCAGCCGCCGCGGUAAUAC